rnacentral:lncRNA from 1 species
AGCCGAGACAUCUCGCGUUGAAGCGGAGACGUCUCCGGAGCGCCUGGGACGCGAUUGACACCUUUUUGCAGGUUUGUUUGAAUUUCAAACGUUCCUUUUUUUGUGUCUAACGGCUAUAUUUGCUUUUUGGGCUAUAAAAGGGAGCUCUUAAGUGCCUUCCAACAACUUCUCACCAACCCAACACAAGAUCAUUCAAGAGAGAAGUAAGAGAAAGAGGUUCAAGGGAGUUAGUGCAUUCAAGUGAAGAAAUCAAGUGCUUUCAUGCUUUCCAACUGAUUUCGAGCUCAACUACUCUCUCCCGAUCGGCAUUCAAAGCUCACAUUCAAGACAACGCGAUCCACAUCGGAAGAACCACCAUUUCCCACGCUUCCAACGGCUAAAAGUGUUCUUCCGGGUUUUGUUAUUUCUCACUGUUUUAUCUGCUUAUUUAGAGCUUUCAAAUCUUUUGUAAAACCUUUGGUUAUUGUGCUUGUUCCAGUCAAGGGAUUUGGAACAAGGAAAAGGCGUCCCAAGCCUAGGUGAAAUUGGGGGUUGUAGGGUUCAUUGUUAGCCCGGUGUAAAACAACGAGUUGGGUAGUGCACUCGCAAAACUACCGGACUG